ACGAACGCUGGCGGCGUGCCUAAUACAUGCAAGUAGAACGCUGAAGGAGGAGCUUGCUUCUCUGGAUGAGUUGCGAACGGGUGAGUGACGCGUAGGUAACCUGCCUGGUAGCGGGGGAUAACUAUUGGAAACGAUAGCUAAUACCGCAUAAGAGUAGAUGUUGCAUGACAUUUACUUAAAAGGUGCAAUUGCAUCACUACCAGAUGGACCUGCGUUGUAUUAGCUAGUUGGUGAGGUAACGGCUCACCAAGGCAACGAUACAUAGCCGACCUGAGAGGGUGAUCGGCCACACUGGGACUGAGACACGGCCCAGACUCCUACGGGAGGCAGCAGUAGGGAAUCUUCGGCAAUGGACGGAAGUCUGACCGAGCAACGCCGCGUGAGUGAAGAAGGUUUUCGGAUCGUAAAGCUCUGUUGUAAGAGAAGAACGAGUGUGAGAGUGGAAAGUUCACACUGUGACGGUAUCUUACCAGAAAGGGACGGCUAACUACGUG
rnacentral:rRNA from 1 species